rnacentral:rRNA from 1 species
UAGGGAAUCUUCCACAAUGGGCGGCAAGCCUGAUGGAGCAACGCCGCGUGUGUGAUGAAGGGUUUCGGCUCGUAAAACACUGUUGUAAGAGAAGAAUGACAUUGAGAGUAACUGUUCAAUGUGUGACGGUAUCUUACCAGAAAGGAACGGCUAAAUACGUGCCAG